ensembl:lncRNA
AUAUUUCUUAUGACUUCCAGUCAACAUUGUGGGAAAAUACCAGAUGGGUGGUCUCUGAAGUACUUGAGGUGAUGCGGAGUUAAUAGCGCACCGUUGAACGCGUGGGAGAAACUCGUAGCCUAUCUCAUUACAGUCGAGAACUUCAUCCGGUACAAGAGGCAUUUCUUGUGUGAGACUGCAGUUAUUUCAACUUCUGGAGAAGCAGGCAUGGAUACAGCGCGGGCAGCCAGGGCGCAUAUUAUCUGGACAUCGAUAGCUUUGGUCUUUACUUUAAUCGCGUCGUGCUUGACGUAUGUCUUCAUGUCGAAGGUAAAUAUAACUGAUCUACAGCUUCAGAAUUUCAGAUUCUUCAUCUAGAUAUUGUUAUUUUGGACAGUAAAAUUACCCGGUGUUCAGGGUUCUGUGGAACACUUUGAAGAAUAACUUGGCGAUUGAUUUGUUUGAAUAAAAGUCUAAGAUAGUUAACCAUUCGGUUUUAACAUUUUUAUGAAAAAAGAAAACUGUCCGCUCCCCAGUUCUCAUAGGCUAUGUAACUUAAACACAGAGGGCAGUAAAGCACUCGCUUGUUUUCCAUUUUAGAGCUUUCUCCAGCAUUUUAUGUGGAUAGCUAAUUCACGGAUUAAGUUGCAGAGGGCGUGUUUGUAAACAACGAAUGGAUCCAUUUAUGUAAGCGCUUUACGUAGGCUCUGUUUCUGUGCAGUCUAACGUUACUCUUGAAGUGACAUGUCUUACUGUAACUUCAACAGGUGUCUGAAUGCAGAAUAAGCAUCGUGAAUGUCUCUGCAAUAGAAAGUAUGUUCUCAAGAAACUAUGUCCGUCAAGUCUCUCAGGAACACUGGCUUUUGACAGCUCGGGGCUACAAUCGGGAAGAUGAUUGCUUGAUCUGGGAGGAUGAGUGGCACGGAUACAGGGAUAAUACUAAGAGUGUUCUGGACCACACCAACAUGUCGAUGAUCGUUCGAGAGAAAGGUGUCUACCUGGUCUACAUACAAGUUAACUUCCAACUGAACCCACAAAAUAGCAGCAGCUCUGCUGUAGAACUCAAAAUUUUAGUGGAUUUCAGUUCUGAUGGCAAGAAGCAGCUAUUUGCAGCCGCACAAGACACUCAGGUGGUGGUUGACUCACCUCAGGACGCCAAGCUCAACACUUUCCUUCUGAUGAAAAUGCAGCCAGCAAGCCAGUUAUCAGUGAGAGUAUUUCCGAGUGAAUUUGUGAACUGCAAACCACAACCCUUUUCCAGUUUUAUCACUAUCAUAAAAUGGGCAGACAACUGGUAGAUUGUUGCAUAUAUUGCAGAAGUUAUUGGCUUUCCAGGUGAAAACCAUAUCCAUGUCCAGUUUUUACAAUGGCGGUUGUUCUUAUAUUUUCGUUAGCUUUAAAUGUGACAUUUCGGGAAGAAUGCAGUCUCAAGAUCACCUGCUAGAACACCUGAGAUUUUCCAGCUGUUGUACUAGGAAAUGCUCGCUGACAUUAACAAGGAUUGCGUGGGGGUUGUGAUACUUUCUUGGUGUUUUUUCUUCUUCCUUUCGAAAUAUGAAGAUCGCAUCUCAUGAUCUUCUCAGAAGCAUGACACAUUUUCCUCUCAACAGAUAUAUGAGUUAGGUUUGUUUUGUUUCAGUUUUUUUUUUAUGAGUCAAGACGAAAAAGGGCAUGAUAUACUGUUAAUGAGCACUGACUUUGAAGAUGCUCAUGUAUUACGUAAAUAAAAGAUGUCAUAAGUGCCUGCA